GAUGAACGCUGGCGGCGUGCCUAUACAUGCAAGUCGAGCGAACAGAUGAGGAGCUUGCUCCUCUGACGUUAGCGGCGGACGGGUGAGUAACACGUGGAUAACCUACCUAUAAGACUGGGAUAACUUCGGGAAACCGGAGCUAAUACCGGAUAAUAUAUUUAACCGCAUGGUUCAAUAGUGAAAGACGGUUUUGCUGUCACUUAUAGAUGGAUCCGCGCCGCAUUAGCUAGUUGGUAAGGUAACGGCUUACCAAGGCAACGAUGCGUAGCCGACCUGAGAGGGUGAUCGGCCACACUGGAACUGAGACACGGUCCAGACUCCUACGGGAGGCAGCAGUAGGGAAUCUUCCGCAAAGGGCGAAAGCCUGACGGAGCAACGCCGCGUGAGUGAUGAAGGUCUUCGGAUCGUAAAACUCUGUUAUUAGGGAAGAACAAAUGUGUAAGUAACUAUGCACGUCUUGACGGUACCUAAUCAGAAAGCCACGGCUAACUACGUG
rnacentral:rRNA from 1 species